ACACGUAUGAAAGACAAGCUAAAAGACUUUUCUCAAUGAUGUAAGUGGUGGUGCAUGGUCGUUCUUAGUUCGUGGAUUGAUUUGUCUGGUCUAUUCCGAUAACGAGCGAGACCCCGACGUUCCUAAUAGGGGUGGCAGCCCGGCUUGCUUAUCUCCCAAAGGUAAGCUUGUUAGCAGCCAUCUAGGAUUUACUUCUUAGACGUAUCAGAGCCGAUAAGGUUCUUGAAAUGGGUUAAUAACAGGUCAGUCAUGCCCUUAGAUGUUCUGGGCCGCACGCGCGUUACAAUGGUAUGUAUAGAAAGCUCCAAAGGAUAUCCCGGAGCCUAACGGUUUCGGUAACCCUUAGUCCCUACCCUGUCUGGGACAGACUCUUGCAAUUAUUGGUCUCAAACGAGGAAUUUUUAGUAGUCGCGGGUCACUAACCCGCGACGA
rnacentral:rRNA from 1 species